rnacentral:rRNA from 1 species
AUUGAACGCUGGCGGCAGGCUUAACACAUGCAAGUCGAGCGGAGAUGAGGUGCUUGCACCUUAUCUUAGCGGCGGACGGGUGAGUAAUGCUUAGGAAUCUGCCUAUUAGUGGGGGACAACAUUCCGAAAGGAAUGCUAAUACCGCAUACGUCCUACGGGAGAAAGCAGGGGAUCUUCGGACCUUGCGCUAAUAGAUGAGCCUAAGUCGGAUUAGCUAGUUGGUGAGGUAAAGGCCUACCAAGGCGACGAUCUGUAGCGGGUCUGAGAGGAUGAUCCGCCACACUGGGACUGAGACACGGCCCAGACUCCUACGGGAGGCAGCAGUGGGGAGUAUUGGACAAUGGGGGGAACCCUGAUCCAGCCAUGCCGCGUGUGUGAAGAAGGCCUUAUGGUUGUAAAGCACUUUAAGCGAGGAGGAGGCUACUGAGACUAAUACUCUUGGAUAGUGGACGUUACUCGCAGAAUAAGCACCGGCUAACUCUGUGCCAGCCGCCGCCGCAGUAA